GUUCAGCUGCAUUGCAAAUAACAAUCUUAUACCUUUUUUGACAGGCAACAGAGGAGCCAGAGUGAAGAGGCGUCCAUGUGGAGGAAAUUGAAAGUACCAACGAUCUCUUUUAUAUAGAGAAGAACCUAAAUUAAGAUUCUCAGUGUAAGCAGAAGAUAUUGUCAACGCUAGACAGCACUAAAGGAGAAGAGGGAGCGAAUGGCCAAGAAAGACAAGUUGGAGUAAAGACUUUCAUUGAUUGGAGCAGGACAGAUGUGAUGAAACAGCUUCAGACACUGGAGCACAGCACCCAUCCUUCAUACCACCUUGUGGAGUCCAAACCAGGGAGGGAGAUGCAGCACAGUGAGGAGAGCUCAUCCUGCAGCAUUAACAAAGGCGUGUUGGUGAUUUAGUGGCUGUGCAACAACUACUGCUGCUGCUGCUUGGAUUUACGCCAAACGAAGGUUCGAUUGGCCCAAGAAGACUAAGUGCCCCUCUGACCUGCACAGGCAGAAAGAUGGCAGGUGGAGGGUGAAAGAAGAUAAAAAGUGGAAGCACAA